UAUCCCUGUACUCACGAUUUAAACGGUUGGUGUUUCAAUAUCACAUUGCCACUCAUCAUCGUCAUCCUAGUAGUUUGUGAAGAAGCUGUGGGGAAUUCCGGUUGCGAAGCAGGCAAUCGUGAAAGAGAUGGCGACCAAGGCAAUUUGGAACGGAGCGACGAUAGCAGCCACGGACGUCUACGAAGUGGUGGAGGGCAAUGUCUAUUUCCCGCCCACUGCUAUCGAUAUGCAGUAUUUCAAGCCCAGCAACACUCAUACAACCUGCGGUUGGAAGGGGGUAGCAUCGUAUUACACCAUUGAAGUGGACGGCAAGGUGAACAAGGACGCUGCGUGGUUUUACCCAACUCCCAAACCAGCUGCUGCGAACGUUAAAGACUAUGUUGCUUUCUGGAAAGGAGUUAAGGUUGAGAAAGGUCCUGCGCAAGCGAAAUGAAGUACCGAUUCUCCAGUUUGAAGUGAUUUGAAUAUAUAAAGCUAUGGCAUGGACUUGAUGGAGCAACAGAGAGUCAAUUUUCUUCAAACACUAUUGCUUGAUUCAUACAUAGAAUUAGCUUUAGUUCAUACAUAAAUGCAUUGCUGUCGCCAGGGUUUAGAGGGGAGACAGAAAAGGCCACUCGAUCUUCACCAAUGCCACUUGUCGCUGAUGCAGUUUGUGUUGUCAUAGCCGCUUACGGCAGCAAAUCUCUUCACAGCCAGACCUGCUUCGAUGAAUUUAGAAGCUUGGUGGGUGUUCUGCAGCUCGGCCAUCUUUAGCCACCUGUAUAGUGGACUUAUUUCACUGUACACUCGUUCAUUCAGAAUUAGUCUUCAUUGGAGAAAGUGAAACACUGUGACGUGCGCGAACACACCUGUGCAGACCGUUCUUCGACAACUGCACCUUUGUCCUCAAAUGCUUUCAAUAGCGCUGUAAACGAAUUUAACUUGUGCCCAGUAUUCCCCCGAAAAA